CGCGGCACGCGAAGCGUGCGCCGCGCGUCAUUGGAGAUUUUGGUUUCGAAUGCGCAGUACGUGAUGGUGUUACAGGAAGCCGGCCGGCCGCUGCCGCCGGACUUGAGUUUCGCUACAAGCACCUUUCCGGUAUCUGUGCAAUCCCGUCGUUGUCGGCAGCAGCAGUAGCAGGUGUGGGCGGUCCCGUGCCAGGCUAAUCAACGUAUCGGCCAGGUACUGUUUCGCUAGCCGGAGCGGUUUCGUCUGUCCCGAGUUUUCCUCCCGUCUUCUGCCGGUGUCUUCCCGCCACUGUCGUCUGCUAAGUUGCACCGCAGUGGACGUCGCCAGUCUCCGUCGAGAGGAAGGAGCAACAGACUUUGGCCGCUGCGUCUUCGCAAACAGAAGAUCACACCUCACCGCGUCGUCUGGCGCAAGCUGGGUGCGCGUCGUCUGCUUGUGGUGACCUUCUGGAGAUGUACGUGACCCGAUGCUCUGAGCUGGCCGUGGUGUUCCCACCUCUGCUCGACAGCCGACGUGUCUGCGCUAGCGACGACAAUGCCGUCAAGGACGCACUUGGAAGGUCGAGAGUCCGGGUGUGCGACGGCGCCCUCUGGUGGCUGCGCUGGAUGCCUGCCGAAGACCCGUGCUUAUCCCUAGGUGA